rnacentral:rRNA from 1 species
GACGAAUGCUGGCGGCGUGCUUAACACAUGCAAGUCGAGCGAUGAAACACCUUCGGGUGCGGAUUAGCGGCGAACGGGUGAGGAACACGUGAGGAAUCUGCCUUCCACUCUGGGAUAACUCCGGGAAACCGGGGCUAAUACCGGAUACUUUCGACUGGCGGCAUCGCCGGUUGAAGAAAGUUUUUCGGUGGAAGAUGACCUCGCGGCCUAUCAGCUUGUUGGUGAGGUAAAGGCUCACCAAGGCGACGACGGGUAGCCGGCCUGAGAGGGCGGCCGGCCACACUGGGACUGAGACACGGCCCAGACUCCUACGGGGGGCAGCAGUGGGGAAUAUUGGGCAAUGGAGGAAACUCUGACCCAGCGACGCCGCGUGAGGGAUGAAGGCCUUCGGGUUGUAAACCUCUUUCAGCAGGGAAUAAGCGAAAGUGAAGGUACCUGCAGAAGAAGCACCGGCUAACUAUGUGCCAGCCGCCGCCGUAA